rnacentral:sRNA from 1 species
AUACCGCUCCAUAUAAGUGAAUCUAGGCCUUUUGGUGACUGUUCAUUGCUGCAAAAUGCGAAAACACACAGCAUCAAAGGAAAACACAAAAACCAUUGCUCAUGAAUUGUGGAGCAAUACCGUCAACGAAAAAGCAAGCAAAUGUACUCCAUCACGCCUGGAUCCAUCUCCAGAAAGAUCUCAGUACUUUCGACGGUCAGCUUCUCACACAUGAUGUUAGCUAUGCAAGGGAUGUAGACGGAUGUUCAGUCGAUGGGCAGCAGGCGGAUAGAUGAGCAGAUAGUAGGAUAUCAACCGCGAACAAGGACAUGAAAUUUGGCAGUCGAUCUUCGAGUAUGAGUGAAUGACGAAUUGUCAAUGUGAGCAUAAGCUGUAUCACGGAAAUCUGGAGGAUUUCAUUUGUUUUGAGGUAGGCGAUGUAGAUAAUCCCAGUCAUAAUAAGUGAGUGACCCCUUGGGGGAUGUGGUGUGAUGAGUUCUCCAUGAUGUUAACUCAUAUUCCGUACUUUCACCCAUGAUUCCCUCAUCAAUUCCUGUUAUUCAUAACGAUAUAUCUUUUGAUAGCUGCUUAAUGUUGUCGCCUUUCUCACAGAAGUCGUUGCAAAUUUCGGAAAUAAUAACCGUUACAAGCCUCGACUCCGCCAAGCCUUCCUUUCAAUCUUCAAACGGAAGUCAGGAAUAACUUCUUCCAGAAGGGCACGGGCUGAGUGUAAGGUGAUGUGUGUUGCGGCGGCAGCCAGAGGCAAGCAGUCUCUGUCGAAAACGGAAAUUAUUAAUAUCGAUAUGCAAAAGUGGAA